rnacentral:rRNA from 1 species
UACGGGGGGGGGUAAGCGUUGUUCGGAAUUACCGGGCGUAAAGGGCUCGUAGGUGGCCAACUAAGUCAGACGUGAAAUCCCCUCGGCUUAACCGGGGAACUGCGCAUGAUACUGGGAUGGCUUGGAGUUUGGGAGAGGGAUGCGGAAUUCCAGGUGUAGCGGUGAAAUGCGUAGAUAUCGGAGGAACACCGGUGGCGAAGGCGGCAUCCUGGACCAACACUGACACUGAGGAGCGAAAGCCAGGGGAGCAAACGGG